UCUCCUCGAAAUAGCUUUAGGGCUAGCCUCAUGGAUCAUUGGUGGGGGUAGAGCACUGAAUGUGCGCGGGGGCAACAAAGCCUACCAAACGCUAUCAAACUUCGAAUACCAUACAAUGCAGACCAUGGGAGUCAGUCCGCGAGAGAUAAGUUCCGCGGGCAAAAGGGGAACACCCCAGAUCAACCGCUAAGGUCCCCAAGUUCACGUUAAGUGGAGAAGGAUGUGGAAUUGCACAGACAACCAGGAUGUUGGCUCAGAAGCAGCCACACAUUUAAAGAGUGCGUAAUAGCUCACUGGUCGAGUGAUUGUGCGCCGAAGAUGUCCGGGGCUAAACGUGACACCGAAGCGAUGGGUGCGUCUGAAGAAGAUGCGCGGUAGAGGAGCAAUGUGCAGAGGCAGAAGCCGUAUCGAGAGGCACGGUGGACACUGCACAAGAGAGAAUGCCGGUAUGAGUAGCGAGAGGCAUGCGAGAAACAUGCCCGUCGAAAGCCCAAGGUUUCCUGGGGAAGGUUCAUCCGCCCAGGGUAAGUCGGGGCCUAAGCCGAGGACGGAAGUCGUAGGCGAUGGACAGCAGGUGUAGAUUCCUGCACUACCGAUGGAAUGAAGCAGUGACACAGAAGGAUAACUCGAGCAGGGUGAUGGUCAACCCUGUGCAAGCAUCAAGGUUGGGUUGUAGUGAAGUACGCAAUCCUAUAAGCUGAGGUGUGAUGCGGACCGAAAUUUCAGUAGGGAAGCGAGUGAGUUCACGCUGGCGAGAAAAGCUGCUAGUAUAUCCAAAGGUACCCGUACCGGAAACCGACGCAGGUGGGCGAGGAGAGAAUCCUGAGACGAACGGGAGAACCCUUGUUAAGGAACUCGGCAAAAUGACCCCGUAACUUCGGGAUAAGGGGUGCCUACGAAAGUAGGUCGCAGAGAAUAGUCACAAGCGACUGUUUAGCAAAAACACAGGUAUCUGCGAAAGCGAGAGCUGACGUAUAGGUGCUGACACCUGCCCGGUGCUGGAAGGUUAAGGGAACAUGUUAGAGCAAUCGAAGCAUCGAACCGAAGCCCCAGUAAACGGCGGCCGUAACUAUAACGGUCCUAAGGUAGCGAAAUUCCUUGUCGGGUAAGUUCCGACCCGCACGAAUGGUGUAACGACUUGUGAGCUGUCUCAACAGGGGGCCCGGUGAAAUUGAAGUAUGGGUGAAGAUGCCCAUUACCCGCGACUGGACGGAAAGACCCCGUAGAGCUUUACUGCAGCCUGAUAUUGAGUUUCGGUAACUGAUGCACAGGAUAGGUGGGAGUCUGAGAGACAUGGGUUUCGGCUCAUGUGGAGACAGUGUUGGGAUACCACUCUUCGGUUACUGAAAUUCUAACAUAGCUCUGUGAAACCAGAGGAUGGACAGUGUCAGGUGGACAGUUUGACUGGGGCGGUCGCCUCCGAAAGAGUAACGGAGGCGCCCAAAGGUACCCUCAGAAUGGAUGGAAACCAUUCGAAGAGCGCAAAGGCAGAAGGGUGCCUGACUGCGAGAUUGACAAAUCGAGCAGAGACGAAAGUCGGGCUUAGUGAUCCGGCGGUAUUGAGUGGAAAAGCCGUCGCUUAACGGAUAAAAGCUACCUCGGGGAUAACAGGCUGAUCUCCCCCAAGAGUCCACAUCGACGGGGAGGUUUGGCACCUCGAUGUCGGCUCGUCGCAUCCUGGGGCUGAAGCAGGUCCCAAGGGUUUGGCUGUUCGCCAAUUAAAGCGGCACGCGAGCUGGGUUCAGAACGUCGUGAGACAGUUCGGUCCCUAUCCAUCGUGGGCGUAGGAGUCAUGAGAGGAGCUGUUCCUAGUACGAGAGGACCGGAAUGGACGCACCACUGGUGCAACUGUUGUCGUGCCAACGGCAUAGCAGGGAAGCGAAGUGCGGAUGGGAUAAACGCUGAAGGCA
rnacentral:rRNA from 1 species